CUUGGGACCUUGUAUGUAAGAAAACAUUGAGUCAGAAGAGAGCGUUAGUCAUAGGGCUACUGAAACACAAGCUGUCUGCCUACGGAAGGCUCCAGAGUCCCUGACGCAUAUUUAUAUCUCCACUUCACUGAAGUCACAAGGAACAAACACACACCUGCCAUUUCCCAAAUCUCAUAAAACAUAUAAAUGGAUGAGACCAAAGAGAGGCAUGAGAUUCCAUUCUUAUGAAGGAGACAGACAGGAAAGAGGGCAAGGGAUCCUACUAAUGCAACACAGAGCUCACAAAUGCAUCCUUCCCUCGAGGCCAGAGUGGCAACAGACCAUAGAGCCACCCUUCAACUGAAGCAAGAUGCCCUUCAACUGAAGCAAGAUGCAUGGAGACUGUUUCCACUUAGGAGUCAGAUAAAAGGCCAGAGGAACCCACAUGGCUGUGCAUAAAGGCUCCAGUUGAUAAAUGGAUAAGCAACAGUGGAAACACAGGUUCACAGGAAGCACCUGGCACACAGUAACUAUUAUUAAUUUCUGCACUGGAGGCAUCAGGAAAGCCUUCACGCUAUAGGGGGCCCUUUUAAGUUAAGAAGUUGGAGAGCAAGCCUCGGGGAAAGCAAAGAGAUAACUUAGUAGAAUGGAGCAACCAUACGGGAACAGUGAGAGUCCAUGGAUCUCCCUGGGCUAAGAUCAUGUAUGGAUUUGGCAAUCUGGGGUGGAAGCCACAUGUGCUGUUAUUAAGUGGAAAUGUCUCGUGAACAUGUGGAAAGUGAUGACUGGAACUUCAGAUGAAAGUCAAAGCUGGAGAUAGGAGAUUCAGAAGUCACCCCACCAAAGAAGGAAUGGUUAAAGCUAUAAGAACUAAUGAGAUCCUAUUUAUUUGCUUAUUCAAUCAACAUAUGUAGAACUAAAUGCUAAGAAUGUAAUGAUAAAUAAGACAGAAAGGGACCUUGCCCAUAUGGUAUUUACAAUCUACUGCCAGUUCAUAAUCUCCUAAAAAAUAAUGUAGAGAACAAUAACAGAAUCAAAGAAAUCUUGAACGUCUAUAUUUAAGGGGUUGAAUGUAAAAGAAAAGGCCUUAAAGGAGGCAGAAAAAUAGCAAUGAGAAAAGUUUGGGAAUUCUAAAACAAGACAGUAUUUCAGAGGAAGAAAACGCAGGUAAUACAUGGGCAAGUUUCACACACAGAGGUGAUGCAUCCUGGUGACCAAUAUUACAAGGAAGAGAGAUGAUGACUGAGGACAGGCUGGUGGACUUGAUUUGAGGUCAACGGUAUGAGGAUAAUUUCAGCAGAGUGGUGGGAUGGAGCGAAACAGCAGGUGUGUCAAUAAUGAGUUAAGCUUUGAGAAAGGGGAGACUUCAGAUGCAGACAACUCAUUCCUGAAUCUGUGCUUCAAAAACAAGAAAAAGCCCAAGAUGUCAGGAUAUCUGCAGGGUCAAGCAAAGCAUUUUUUUCACGAUGGUAAUAGGUAAAAGAGAUUUCUCUAGCCCGCUGGUCUAAGGAUCAGACAGAGGGUGGAGGUGCUUGAUAAGGAUGGUCAUGGCAUUUUUUGCAGACUGAAAUGAUAUUUGAAAACUAAAUGCUAGCCUGUGUUACAGCUACUUACCCGCUGAGGAUCAAACGUACAUUUAUUUGCCCUAUUGCCCAACUUAUGGCUAUGCCAGUAAUGUCCUCUUUUUUUCCUUAUCAUUUCUUUUCAGCUUGUUUUCCCAAACUGUGGUGUUGCCUUGCCCUUGAGAACCCAGCUGAGGUCUAGACUGUUUCAUGGAUCACCUAAGCUUGGAGCUACAGUUGGGCUGCAAAGUUGUUCCUCUAGUGCUGAUACAAGAACAUAGCUGGUCCUCUUGUUCAUAGUGGUAAAAUAUUUUUAAAAUCUGACAUAAACACAACAUAUUAAUUACAGAAAUGAUGGAGAGAGAAUAAAGCUGGGACCCCACAAAAAAA
rnacentral:lncRNA from 1 species